AGGUGAUUUUUCAUCCCAGGCACUCCAGAAACUCACAUGAACUCCAAGAUCUGGUAUCAAUGGUCUUGCCCCAUAUUUCCAUCUCUGCUUUAGGAAAUUUCCUUAAUAAACUCUUCACAAUGUAUGAUUGCUUAGACAGAAUUUUCAGUCCCUUCUAACCUAUCUUCCAGUUUACAACUAUAAAAACAGUGUAUUGUCUCAAAUCAAUUCUUAGACUACUUGGCACUUCCCUUAUUUUAACCAAAACUUUUCUAUCUAUAUAAUCUAGCUCUUGGCAACUUCUCUAAUCUCCAUCUCACAGCACUCUCUCCUUUGCUCACUAUCCUCCAAAUCCACUUCUUUUUGUUCUUUCAUUGUGCCAAGGCCUUUUAUUUUUUAACAUCCAGGCCAUUCCACUAGGUUCUUCCAGUUCCUCAACUGUCUGCUCAUCCUCAAACUGCAUCCUCACUCUCCAAUAUCACUUUUCAGAGAUGUUUUCUCUGGCCAACCCAUCCAAAACAACUUCCUCCCAUUCUCAGACUUAUCAUGCUCUUUAUUUUCUUCUAGAGUCAUUUGUCCAUUUCUACAUUUACUGAUUUAUUGUAUGUCUCCUUUAAAAAGAGAUAAUAUGUCUGCCUAGUUCAGUAAUAGUCUCUGCUGCUCCUAUAGUGCUUAAUAAUUAGUAACUGUCUAAAAAAUAUGAACUGAAUGAAAAAAAUAAAACUUUGGGUGCGGGCCUUCUAAAAUCCUCAGAAGUUUGGACUCUAAGCAGGAAACAUUAGAAACACUUUAGUUGCCUGUUAGUGUUUGUCUCCUUGGCCCCUUGUUCUGUAACCUAAAUUUUUUGCCUGGGUUGAGAAUAUUGACACAAUAUUCUAAAGUCUCUUAUCUUGGACAUUUGACUUCACUCCAAAGUUCUGGAUUUCAUACUCUGUUUUCAAGAAACAGGAACCUAGAGUAUCAAUUGGUAUUUCUGAACUUGACCUUUUGUGAGCAAUGAUAUUUAUCUUACCUGCUUUAGAUAACAAACACAGAAUUGACUCCAGAUCUGCCAAAGUCCUCCUUGUCUGAUUGAACUCCUGUCCAUUUUAUUUCUUAACCCUGUCUUUCUACUCUAAAUCUUUCUUCUUCUCUUUCUACCCUCAUGUGGCAUGACCAUAGGUAUAAGGAAGGGGUUAAUGUGACACAUUUAUAAAAGCCCUCCAAUUUUCCCAACUCACAGUACCCUCUCUAUUAAAGGCUUAUGCAAAACUCCUAGUAUAUUUGUCUCACUGGAUACAAUAAACCUCUAUACCAACAAUUAGGAUUUGUGCAUUUGCCAACUCUAAUGUAGAUAGGAGCUACAUCUGCAACAUUUCAGUUUUAGGUGCUUUCAAACAAUUUUUAGAUACAAUUGAGACCAUUUAUGGCAUUGACAAUAGGAAUGCCUUGAAGACUCUUCUCUGUACACCUAAUUUUACCACUUUUCUUAAAAAUCUAGUGUCCGUAAAACAUUUAAGAAAAACUACUGUGAGUUGCCUGGAUAUUUUCCAAGCUCUGGAUGCCAUAGUUAGUCACAUGGAAUGUGGAAUGGGCUAGACAUCUUGGAAUUGUUCUUGUUAAACUGGUGUAAGCGAUUGACCCAACAGCUUUAAUAAUCACUAUUUGUUUAACGAGUUCCUGUGAAGAAAGCUAUGCAGUUGUCUUGUGAAGUAGCUUCUUAAAAGGCUUUUAUUUUGUCUGGAUAUGAUAAGGAUCAUUACAUGGUAUGUCUAACUGAUGACUUAGUGCUCUUUCAGUGCAUAGAAACUUCUAUGGGAAAAAGAAUUAGACAAUAAGUACCAAUGACUUAAUACAUGCCAUGUUUCCAAUUCAAUUUGCUUUGAUAAAAAUCAAAUAAUCUCCAGGAACACAAAUAUUUAUCUACAGCAUUGGACAGUCUGUUAAAAUUGGCAUUUUAGGUCCCUCCAAAACAUUCAUUUGUCCUUUAUACGACCCACACAUUGUCAGGAGGUUAAUAAUGUUGAAAAAUUCCUGCGGUGUUCUUAGUUUCUGUGCUAUCUGGCAGAGAAACAUCAGAAUCUUUAAUUUUCUUUUCAACACAGCAUGUUCUUUAUUCACAAUCAGUGUUCCUCUGUCUUAAUCAACAAAGUGGGAACAGAUUUUAAAAUUAAAAGCACUAUAAGUUCAUAGCAUUUUUCCUUUGAAGUAAAAUGUUUUAUAGGACUACAAAGAAACAUGAAAAGAAUUCAUAUGAUCAGAAGGCUUAACAAUUAAAAGCUUAAUAAUCUGUCCUCUGUGGAAUAUUCCAAAAUUUUAAAGGCAAACAGGUAUUAUUAAAGAGUUUGGUAAAGUGAUUUUUGAAUGUACUACUUUUUAUAUUAUAGAAUAUAUUUCAAAAUACGAUUCAACUCUAAAUAUAAUUAUAUGCCACACUUCCUACAUGCAAAGAUUAUUCUUUCCUGUUUAGACAUUGUUUCUAAGUAUUAACAUUUACCAUGGUAUCAAUUACCCUGGCACCAAGGUAAAAAUGUACUUGAAAAAAAGAUAAGUUAUCUGCUAUUAUAAAACCAUAGCAGAUAAACCCUUUUAUUGAAAAGUUAAGUACAUGUUAAAUGAUAAAAUGUCAUAGGACUAACUAUAGAGGACACCUUCAUACUUUCACAGUUAUUAUCUUUAUACACAUACCUAAUGUGCUUUCAAACAAGACUUUGAAAAAGGAAAAUUUAUAAAUUUUAAGACAUAGCAAUUAAUAUUAGUCACCAAAGUCAAGAGAAUAGGUGUGUUUCACUUUCUUCAAUAAGUGUCAGGUGCUUAGAAGAAAAGCACAACAGGAAGAAAAUCUCUCAGAUCAUAACCUCAGGAAAGAAAGUUAGAACAAUUCUAACCCAUCAAGGAGAUAGAAGCCUCUGUAAAUGGAGUACUAUAUAGAUUCCCAUUAGUCUGUAGGAUAAGAAUGGUGUUACUAAAAAGUAAAGUAAUAGAGCACCAUUUUUCUCAAAGUGACUCACAGCUUAGAGAUGUUUCCAUUGUCAUCUCUUGUCCUCAACUUCUUUCUUGGACCUUGAACCCCCUCCACCACAUUUUUCUAGUUUAUCCCAACCACUCUUCCUCUCCUCCCUACUACAAUUUUCCCAUCUCCUUUGCCUCCUUCAACUUGGUCUUGCCCAGUUUGUCCAUCCUGAUUAACCCAACCAACCUUGCUUACAUCUAACCCUAGGCAAGCACUCCAGCUUCACUCUCACACACUGCUCCUCUACGCAAAGAUAUUUUGGCUUGGGUCUCUAUUCGGCAGUUGUUCUAUGGGUGUUUAAGAGCUUGGGUUCUGGAGUCACUCUGCCUGUGCUCAAAUCCCAACUCUGCCCUAACUACUGUGAGGUAGGUAGAGUGACCCCAUUAAGCCUCAAAUGAGAUAAUGUAAGUAAAGCACUCAAAACAGUGCUCACAGAGAGUAAAUACAUAAUACUGAUUAUUAUUAUUCUUGUUGUAUUUAUUAUUUCACCAACACAGAGGCAAUUCUCUUCAGUGCAAAGGCCAAGUAUUUUGUUACUUUGUAUCAUCCUGUAAAUACAGUGACUGCACUCUUUGAACUGAAAUCUAGACAAAUGAUCCCACAAAUCACCUGCACUUAUGUGGCAAAAGAAUAGAAGCAUUGAAAUAAGAACAGUACCAGUGGAUUCAGGAUGGGAAAAUCACUGUGUAUAUAAAUCUUGUGAUUUGCUUUUUUAAUAGAUUGAGUCCUCAGAUAAGAACAUGCCAGGUCUACACAAGUGAAAUACAGGGCCGAUUUGUUUGGGGUGGGAUUGUGAAUUUACAGGCAUGUUAAGACAAGCUGCUUUCCUUCCAUCUUGGGGAACAUAAAUACAGACACUUGUGCAAUGUAUUAGAUUAUUGCUCUUAAAGAAAAUCUUAUCCUCACUUCUUACAAUUUACUGUGAGGACAAUAUCAGGAGAAAAACCUUCCCAGUUCCAGGUGGGAGGGGCCAGCAGACAAAACAGGGGGAAAGCAGAUUUACAAUCAUGUAAAAAUGAAUCUGGAGGGAUAUUGUUGAUAGAACUGAAACCCCUGUUGACACAGAAAAUGGUGCAUCAGGGCUAUGGUGUCUGAUGUCUUCAGGAAUUUUGUGAGGACUGAUUUGACACGUGCUUUCAAGUGUGUUAACUGGUUGUUUUGGAAAAUCCGAGCUUAACUCUUAGCAUCUCAUCUAUUUAGUUGCACUGUCGUCAAUAUUUUAAAUCUGUUUUUAUAGUAUAUAAGGACCGGGACCUUUUAAAACCUUAUCAUUAAGGUAACACAAGGGAGAGAGACAAACAGACAGGACAGAGAGAGACAGAGAGGGGCAUGUAGCUGAAGGGAACAAGAAAGCAGCUCCAACAGGGCCUGCUUGUAGUAGAAUGGCCCCCUGUGUUCUCUAAAGGGAAUUGCCAGAUAGACACAUCCCCUAGACAAGUGUAAGUACAGCAGUACAUUCCAAGGUCAAAUAUAAGUGCUUUUUAUUAUCUUCUAUCUUUUGUAAUCCAGGCCAGUGGUGGAUUAUUGAAAAAUGACAGCAUAACAAAUGUCUUUCCUUGAGUAUUCAUUUCUCUCAGGGCAUAUGAGUUACAAUACCCAAGGCAGGCACUCCAUGUAGCCAAGGACAGUUGUGUCUUUCAGGUAAUCCAGUGGUCUUAUCCUGAGGGUUGUGCCCUUUUACUGUCCUUCCCAACCUUGAAUGAAACCAAUACGCAUGCACUCUUGGGAACAGAAUGGGUACAAAUGGUCUUUUGUUUUCACAUUCCUAAUCCUCAUAAUCUUCACACCCUCCUCCUGAUUUAGUUUUCAAGGUGAAAUAUUUAUAUCCCUAUUGUAUCUUAUUCUGAUAGCAAAGGUUUUAUUAUCUCUCACAUUGUGCUUUUAAAUAAAAUGUCCCUGCUAGGAAUUCCCACUGUGGUGCAGCAGAAAUGAAUUCAACUAGUAUCAUUGAGGAUGUGGGUUUGAUCGCUGGCCUGGCUCAGUGGGUUGGGGAUCCAACAUUGCCAUGAACUGUAGUGUAGGUCACAGACACAACUCAGAUCCCUUGUUGUGGCUGUGGUGUAGGCCGGCUGUGGUGUAGCUCCGAUUCACCCCCAGUCUGGGAACUUCCAUAUGCUGUGGAUGCGGCCCUAAAAC
rnacentral:lncRNA from 1 species